rnacentral:lncRNA from 1 species
AGUGCUGUGCCCUCCUAGGUACCCCAAGCUGGCAGCUCUGAACCCUGAAUCCAACACAGCUGAGCAGGACAUAUUUGCCAAAUUUUCUGCUUACAUCAAGAAUUCAAACCCAGUAGUCAAUGACAAUCUGGAGAAGGGACUCCUGAAAGCCCUGAAGGCAUCUCUCAGAGGAAGUUUCUGGAUGGCAAUGAGCUCACCCUGGCUGACUGCAACCUGUUGCUAACG